GGUAAUUUUUUUUUCCCCCACAGGUAAUUUUUUAAAAAGAUUUUAUUUACUCAUUUGAGAGAGAGAAAGAGUGCACAAGUGGGAGAGGGGCAAGGGAGAGGGAAAAGCAGGCUCCUGGCGGAGCUGGACAUGGAAGACAUGGGGUUUGAUACCAGGACCCUGAAAUCAUGACCUGAGCUGAAGUCAGAGUGCUUAACCAACUGAGCUACCCAGGCACCCCUGUACACAGGGAUUUCAUCUCCUAGUGCAGAAUUUUCCAAAUCCUGUUCCAGAAUGUAUUUCUCAAGAUGUCAAAUGUCAUAUAGCUGGAAUCAUAAGUAACCUUUUCAGACUGGCUUCUUUAACUUAGUUUCCUUCCUCAGCCAGAUUUGCUACGACUCUUCACAUCAAAUGAAGCAAAAGAUUGCUGUAGAGAGCUGAACACAGGGAACAAACAAUGCAUUAAAAAGUUCUUUGUUGCAAGAAAAAUGCAAGACAAACAAUAAAGUUCAUAAAAACAUA